GUCUACAGUUAUGCUACCCUGAACAAGCCCGAUCCCGUCUGAUCUCGGAAGCUAAGAAGGGUCGGGCCUGGUUAGUACUUGGAUGGGAGACCACCUAGGAAAUCAGGUGCUGUAGGCU
rnacentral:rRNA from 1 species